GGUUGACCUCGGAUCAGGUAGGGAUACCCGCUGAACUUAAGCAUAUCAAUAAGCGGAGGAAAAGAAACCAACAGGGAUUGCCCCAGUAACGGCGAGUGAAG
rnacentral:rRNA from 1 species